GACGUAGGGCGCGAGCGUUGUCCGGAUUUAUUGGGCGUAAAGAGCUCGUAGGCGGCUUGUCGCGUCGACUGUGAAAACCCACGGCUUAACUGUGGGCUUGCAGUCGAUACGGGCAGGCUAGAGUUCGGUAGGGGAGACUGGAAUUCCUGGUGUAGCGGUGAAAUGCGCAGAUAUCAGGGGGAACACCGGUGGCGAAGGCGGGUCUCUGGGCCGAUACUGACGCUGAGGUGCGAAAGCGUGGGGAGCAAACAGG
rnacentral:rRNA from 1 species